rnacentral:rRNA from 1 species
GACGAACGCUGGCGGCGCGCCUAACACAUGCAAGUCGAACGAGCGAGAGAGAGCUUGCUUUCUUGAGCGAGUGGCGAACGGGUGAGUAACGCGUGAGGAACCUGCCUCAAAGAGGGGGACAACAGUUGGAAACGACUGCUAAUACCGCAUAAGCCCACGACCCGGCAUCGGGUUGAGGGAAAAGGAGCAAUCCGCUUUGAGAUGGCCUCGCGUCCGAUUAGCUAGUUGGUGAGGUAACGGCCCACCAAGGCGACGAUCGGUAGCCGGACUGAGAGGUUGAACGGCCACAUUGGGACUGAGACACGGCCCAGACUCCUACGGGAGGCAGCAGUGGGGAAUAUUGCACAAUGGGGGAAACCCUGAUGCAGCGACGCCGCGUGGAGGAAGAAGGUCGUCGGAUUGUAAACUCCUGUUGUGGAGGAAGAUAAUGACGGUACUCAACAAGGAAGUGACGGCUAACUACGUG